AGUUAAUUAAUUUAAUAAAAAUUUUUAUUUUGAAAAUAAAACUUAGAAUCUUAUUCUAUUAACUUA
rnacentral:tRNA from 1 species